AAAGCAUUCACACGCACAUAAUUCAAUAGGUUCAAACAAAAGCACAUUUAAUUUUAUUUAUUAUCGCCAGUGAUGGGAUAUCCUUUUGUAUAAGUGUAUGUGUUGUUUCCUUCAUAGCCAGUCUUGCCAUUUACCCCGACUUUCACUCAAGAAAAUAAUUUUGAUGUGUUCUGCUAUCUAGUGAGCAGGAGAAAUGACCCGAGAGAUGCAUCUGAGGGUAAUAAAUAAGCCUUGAGAUUGAAGAAAGGUUCGGUAAGGAAGAAGGCUCAGAGAAAUGUCAACAAAUAAAGUGUGUGGUUCCAAAUUCAAAGGUCUCUGUCUCUGUGAGACAGACACAUUCAGGCAACAAGAGAUACACGGUGUAUGUUCCUGUAUCUCGCGCUUGACUUUAUGUCUGUGUGUGUGGAAAACGCAAUUUCAACUUUCCAAUGAUGCGGCGAUAAAUCACGGAUAAUCUACUUUUCAGGAUCAUAAUUUUUGUGUGAAUUGACAGUCAGGCAGUGACAAAAAGAAAGCCGACUGACAGAUUUAUGUACACGCACUAACACACGCGCACAGUGCGAUAGGGAGGAACAUAGAACAGGCUGAAAGGACAUCGUCGAUAACAGCGAUAUCAAUUUCACAUAAAACCCACGCCGGUUCCGCUCUAGAGUUACGAAUAUACGAAAGUGGAUGACAAUGACGAGUUUCCUCCAUUUUUGGAUUCAAUUUCAGCUUUCAUUGCUUUGUCGUUAGAAUGGGCAUGCUGUCGUCAGAAAAUUUCUUUAAGUUACCGUCAAAGGUAUUUUUGGAUGCUUUACAAUAUCUUAACAUCAUAGAAAAUUCUACAUGGUCAUAUUUUACUGGGACGAUGGAGCCUCUAGAGACCAUAUGGCAAUGGUGCGGCCAUCUUUAGUUUUCUGGACUAUCCAUGCGGGUCGCCCAGCACUUCGAACGUGUCGCACGUCCCUGCUCCCUUGUCCGUCUAUUUAUUGGCGUCAUUAAAUCAUUCUAUCAAUCCCAGGCACAGAACCCACACACACCCACUGGAAAACCCACCCUCACCGACCAUCAUUAGUCAUUAAUCGUUGGAGUGACUUUAAUGGCAUUAAAUAGUCGCAAUUAUAUUUCAAUGCGAUCCCUAGGACCAGGACACAAACGGAUGUUCUUCCUUUUCAGGCAGGCCUUUUUAUGCCUCAAAAAUCGCUAAUGAUUUAAUCAAAUAAUCGUCUUACUUUGUUCUGGUAAAUGGUUCAAAAACAAUGAAUACAAUUUAAUCAUUAAAACGCACUUUAAAUGCUAAAA
rnacentral:sRNA from 1 species